GGACCCGCACAAGCGGUGGAGCAUGUGGUUUAAUUCGAUGAUACGCGAGGAACCUUACCAGGGCUUAAAUGGGAAAUGACAGGGGCAGAGACGCCCCCUUCUUCGGACAUUUUUCAAGGUGCUGCAUGGUUGUCGUCAGCUCGUGCCGUGAGGUGUCAGGUUAAGUCCUAUAACGAGCGCAACCCCUACCGUUAGUUGCCAGCGUGUAAUGACGGGGACUCUAAAGAAACUGCCUACGCAAGUAGAGAGGAAGGCGGGGACGACGUCAAGUCAUCACGGCCCUUACGUCCUGGGCCACACACGUGCUACAAUGGUAGGUACAGAGGGAAGCCACCCCGCGAGGGGGAGCGGAUCUACAAAACCUAUCUCAGUUCGGAUCGGAGUCUGCAACUCGACUCCGUGAAGCUGGAAUC
rnacentral:rRNA from 1 species